GAUGAACGCUGGCGGCGUGCCUAAUACAUGCAAGUCGAGCGAAUGGAUUAAGAGCUUGCUCUUAUGAAGUUGGCGGCGGACGGGUGAGUAACACGUGGGUAACCUGCCCAUAAGACUGGGAUAACUCCGGGAAACCGGGGCUAAUACCGGAUAACAUUUUGAACCGCAUGGUUCGAAAUUGAAAGACGGCUUCGGCUGUCACUUAUGGAUGGACCCGCGUCGCAUUAGCUAGUUGGUGAGGUAACGGCUCACCAAGGCAACGAUGCGUAGCCGACCUGAGAGGGUGAUCGGCCACACUGGGACUGAGACACGGCCCAGACUCCUACGGGAGGCAGCAGUAGGGAAUCUUCUGCAAUGGACGAAAGUCUGACGGAGCAACGCCGCGUGAGUGAUGAAGGCUUUCGGGUCGUAAAACUCUGUUGUUAGGGAAGAACAAGUGCUAGUUGAAUAAGCUGGCACCUUGACGGUACCUAACCAGAAAGCCACGGCUAACUACGUGCCAGCCGCCGCAGUAA
rnacentral:rRNA from 1 species